AUUGGCCCCUAUUCCAUCCUUCCUUUACCAGGUUAUUUGGAAGUAUUAUUUCUCAUCUGUGAAUAUCAAGUCUAAACAAGGACAGUUCUUAGUGGUUUUGUUUGUUUGUUUGUUUGUCUUUUUAGGGCCACACCCAAGGCUUAUGGAGGUUCCAAGGUUAGGGGUCCAAUUGGAGCUGUAGCCACUGGCCUAUGCCACAGCCACAGCAACACUGGAUCUGAGCUGAGUCUGCAACCUACAACACAGCUUGCGGCAAUGCCGGAUCCUUAACUCACUGGGAUCGAACCCGCAUCCUCAUGGAUUCUAGUCGGGUUUGUUAACUGCUGAGCCAUGACGGGAAUUCCUUUCUUAGUGUUUUUAAUAAAUAAUACUGCUUUGCAAAUCCUUCAUAUUCACUGUGAUUUACAAAACAAAAAUGAGUAUAAUUAGAUGCAGAAAAAUCAUUCUUCACUUUAUAGAAGGAUUUAUUUUCAGAACACAUUUUUUUUGUGCAUUUCAAAUGUAAUUUGUCUUUUACUCUCCAGUAUUUUUAAAAAUUUUUUCCCUUUUUUUUCUCUCCAAUAUUUUGAAUCUCUGUAAGUUCUCUUGUAAUAUUCUAUCUACUUUCAAUACACAUAUUUGGUAAUUCUUUUGAUACAUUUCACCUUGUUUACCUGAGAAAAACUUCUAAAUAUCUGAACACUUAUAAGGUUAUCUUUGCCUUUUGGGAUAGCAACUUGACACAAAAUAGCAGUUUGUUACAAAAGGUGUAAAUGACUUCGAAACAGAUGGAUUAUAUUUCUGUGAAUAAAUACAGUUAAAGGUUUAAAAGCUUGGAGAAAAAUAUGUGCUAGAAACCAAUGGCUGAACAGGUGUGCUGGGAGGUGUGACUAACCUCAAAGAGCUAAGAGUCCCCUUCUGAGUCCCAAUCAAAAUGUUCCUUUGGUUACUCAUGUCUGUUUAUCCACACAUGGUUACUGUUCCUUAGUGUUUGCAACUAACUUGAAAUUUUCAGAGUUAGACUAUGUGGCACACACAUGAAAGGAACCAUAUUUGAAACCACUUCCUCAUAGCUUAGACCUACCAACUAUGGCAGGCAGUAGUCACAUCAUUUCUAGCUCCUGGCUCUGUUGUCAAUGGGCACUUGUUGCAUCCAGUAAUUGAUUCUAUUGCAUCUCUGGAGUUUGCAUCAUUGCAUCAUUGAGUCAGGUCUAGAGUUUGCUCAAUUAGAUAGGACCAAUAAGCUGAAUUCCCAAGCAAAUCUGAUGUUUGAUAUCCAGAAGAGGGCAGUAGGACACAAAGAUUAAAUCCUGGUCAACCAGACACUACAAUACAUAGUGGCUGCUAGCAACUGCUCAGCAUUGGACCAAACACUCACCUUCCCUUUGACAGUCCAUGAGCAUAAUGGGAGGCUAAGAGAACUAACACUUUCUGCCACCCUACUGUGUAUCAAGCUCUAACGAGGUAUUUUUCACCUGUUAAAUCAUUACAAUCUUGAAAUGUAGGUGAUAUACUACUUUCCUUUGUAUUCAUGACAAAAUCAAUGCUCAGAGAACUCAAACAACUUGCUGGAGGUCACACAGCAAGAAGGAAAACCAAAGUUAAAAUCCAGAUCUGACUCCAUGGGCUCUAUUCAACCAUAUCAGAAUUCGAUUACUGACCCCAAUUUUCAUAAACUUACUGAUCCUGGGCAAGUAAUUUGACCAUUUAGAAAUCCAAUUUCUUCAUCUUUAAGGUAAGGCUAGCAAUAUCCUCUUACUUUUAGGAAUUAGUGUCUGGAUUGUUUUUUUACAUGAUAAUCUCUAUACAACGUAGUGAGUUUUAUUCAUUGAUAGUAUUUUAAUUUAGAAUAUAAAUUAUAGAAAAUUAAAUCUAGCAGGGACACAAGAGUGGUAUCCAAUACUUUCAUCUUAGAGAUUAUGAAAACAAACCUGGAGGGUUUCUAUGAUUUGCAUAUGAUCAGAAAACUUGAGAGUGACAAACACUGGGACUCAGGACUGGCAACUCUUAGCCAGCUUUCUCCUCUCAUUUCUGUGUACCAUUAGUUAUGGAGACAGACACAGAUGACAUGAUGAUAAUAGCAUUGCUGAUGAGGAUGAAGAUAACAAUAAAUGUGUCUGAGGAAAUGAUAGAAAAUUUACUUCAUUUUAGAAGGAAUUUAUUUUAUUAGUAAAUCCUGCUUUUCUUGUUCUCUCUGUAAGGGAGAUCAAUAUGUGUCUAAGUCUGUAAAAUUUGUCUAAGACAGCUGACUUACAAGAGGGUGGGAAAGGCCAGUGCAUGCACAAUUGUGAUACUUUCCAAAUGAGAAAUGCUAAAAUGCAGACUCUAAUCAAUGCUAAUCUUGGAUUUCUAUGAUUCUCUAUUAGCAAAUCUUUCUGGCUUUCCCAAGAAUCUGUGAUGGGAAAUUGGCAAUUUGGAAACAAUGUGAGAGAUGGAUCUAACAUAGCAGUGACUCUUUUGGAAGAUUUUUAGGUAACUCACCAUAUUUUAUUCCAUUUCUUAUGGCUUCUUUGUUUAAAAAUUUGGUAUAAUAUUUCCAGUCCUCCAAAUCUUACACUCCUAGAAAAUUGGAUAAGAAGAAGGAAAACAAAAAGAGAAAGAAAUGAAAGAAGAAGAAGGGAUUUCCCAUCAUGGCUCAGUGGGAUAAGAACCUGUCUAGUAUCCAUGAGGAUGCAGGUUCGAUCCCUGACCUCAUUCAGUGAGUUAAGGAUCAGAAGUGGCUGUGAGCUGUGGUAUAGGUCACAGACGUGGUUUGGAUCAUGCAUUGGUGUGGUUGUGGUGUAGGCCAGCAGCUGCAGUUCUGAUAUGACCCCUGGCUUGGGAACCUCUGUAUGCCGCAGAUGAGGCCCUAAAAAGCAAUCAAAAAAGAGAAAGGAAAGAAGAAGAAAUCGUUUAGUUUUCAUCACCAAGGAGCUGAGAGGCAAAAGCACCUUGUGUAGUGUUUGGAGAAUUUCCUGGUUUCCACUGGCUUCUGGAUUUAUGGGCUAGAGCUAGGAAAGUUGAUAGUCAAUUAAACAAAUUUAAGGAGCUUUCUAUUUAAAUGUACCUUCAAUCAGAAUAACUGGUUUCCUUAAUUCACCCAAAUAUGUUUUUUGUGUGUGUUAAAAUUGUUUGAAAAUAGAGAUGUAUAAUAGUUUAAGUGCUCUAUCCCCUUGCUUACUCUGGGCAUAAUUUCCCAGAUCUCAUACGUUUCUUUUAUUUCAUCAGAUAAUUAGGGCUCUCCCUUUUCCUUGCAGUGUUGGGGAAAGAACUUCUCAGGGGUCCGAAGAGAGGAAAUUUAGGUGGUGAAGCAUGAACUCAUAUCCCCAGAGCUCAAGAAUGGCUGUCCUGGAGGUCGAGGGAACUGACAGGUGGAGACCAGUGAUGUUACUGCUUCCAAACUCAGCACCUAAACAUCUGCAUUGCUCAUUGGCUAUUAGUCAUAUAAUGCCUGUUCCAGUUUUCUGUUAUCCCUGGCUAAAUCUUAGACAGGCAUGCUUCAGAGAUAUUGCAAGUUUGGUUCCAGACAACUACAAUAAAUCUAAUACUGAAACAAAAGUGAGUCACAUGAAUUGACUGCCUCUUCUUUUCAUGAAUUAUUUCUCUGUAGCAUGCAAUGCUAUUUGAUAACAUUUUAUACAGAGAACUUCUUUCAACUUUGGAGUCAGUUUUCUCAAACAGUGUUGCUGCUCUAUCAACUAAGUUUAUGAAAUAUACUAAAUUUUAUGUUGUUAUUUCAAUAAUAUUCACAGCAUCUUCACCAGGAAUAGAUUCUAUCUCAAGAAACUGCUUUCUUUGCUCAUAUCUAAGAAGGAAUUCCUCAUUUGUUAAAGUUUUAUCAUGGGAUUGUGGCAAUUUUGGUCAGAUCUUGAAGCUCUACUUCUAAUUCUAAUACUCCUGCUAUUUCUACCACAUUUGCAGUUAUUUCCUACAAUGAAGUUUUGAAGCCCUCAAAGUUAUCCAUGAGGUUUGGAAUCAACUUCUUCCAAACUUCUGUUAAGUGUUGAUAUUUUGAUCUCUUCUCACGACUCACAAAUGUUCCUAAUGGCAUCUAGAAUGGUGAAUUCUUUCCAGAGAUUUUCAAUUUAUUUUGCCCAGAUCCAUCAGAGGAAUCACUAUCUGUCGCAGCUAUAGCCUUACCAAAUGUAUUUCUUAUAGAAUAAGACUUGAAAGUAAGUGUGAUUCCUUGAUCCAUGGACUGUAGAAUGGAUGUCGUGUUAGCAGCCAUGAAAACAACAUUAAUUUCAUUUUAAAUCUCCAUUAGAGCUCUUAAGUGACCAGGUGCAUUGUCAGUGAGCAGAAAUAUUUUGAAAGGAAUCUUUGUUUCUGAGCAGUAAGUCUCAAGAGUGGGCUUAAAAUAUUCAGUUAAAUCAAGUUGUAAACAGAUGUGCUAUCAUCCAGGCUUUGUUGUUCCAUUUAUAGAGCACAGACAGAGUAGAUUUAGCAUAAUACUUAAGGGCCCUAGGAUUUCCCAGUGGUAAAGAACGUUGGCUUCAACUUAAAGUCACCAGCUGCAUUGGCCCCUAAGAAGAAAGGCAGCCUCUGAAGUCUCUGAAGCUUUGAAGCCAGGCAUUGACUUCUCCUCACUAGCUACAAGAGUCGUAGAUGGAGUCUCCUUCCAAUAUAAGGCUGUUUUAUCUACAUUGACUAUCUGUUUAGUUAGCCACCUUCGUGAAUCAUCUUAGCUAUACCUUCUGGGUAUCUUGCUGCAGCUGCUAUAACAACACAACUUGCUGCUGCACCUUGUACUUUUAUGUUGUGGAGACAGCUUCUUUCCUUAAAAUUCACUGACCUGGAGUUCCCGUAGUGGCGCAGUGGUUAACGAAUCUGACUAGGAACCAUGAGGUUGCGGGUUCGGUCCCUGCCCUUGCUCAGUGGGUUGACGAUCCGGCGUUGCCGUGGGCUGUGGUGUAGGUUGCAGACGUGGCUCGGAUCCCGCGUUGCUGUGGCUCUGGCGUAGGCCGGUGGCUACAGCUCCGAUUCAGCCCCUAGCCUGGGAACCUCCAUAUGCCGCGGGAGCGGCCCAAGAAAUAGCAACAACAACAACAACCAAAAAGACAAAAG
rnacentral:lncRNA from 1 species